CGUAACCACAUACACUUCUCAUUCUCAUGCGAUGGCUCAUUUUUUUUUUUUUUUUUUUUUUUUUUAGAUCAACAGAUCCUUUGCCAGAUGCAGAAAAUCCUGUAUUCACAAAAGGCCCCCAGAAAGCAUUUUCUGUGAGUGUGCUGGGGAGGCCGCUCAGGCCCAUGAAGAAUGCUAUCUGUAAGAGCCUUCUCUGUGGCCAUGAGCCACUUGGCAUGGCAGCUCUCCGUUCCGGGGUGUCCUCCACAGCUGGAGUCAGGAGCACAAGCUUGGCUCAAGAACAUAGACUCUGGGCAAGCUCCUCCCCCUUCCUCCGACUGGACGGACGGAAACCAUCAUCUCCAGGUGGAAAGAACACUCCAUGA
rnacentral:lncRNA from 1 species